UACGAAGGGGGCUAGCGUUGCUCGGAUUGACUGGGCGUAAAGGGCGCGUAGGCGGUUUGCACAGUCAGACGUGAAAUUCCUGGGCUUAACCUGGGGGCUGCGUUUGAUACGUGCAGGCUUGAGUUCGGAAGAGGGUCGUGGAAUUCCCAGUGUAGAGGUGAAAUUCGUAGAUAUUGGGAAGAACACCGGUGGCGAAGGCGGCUCACUGGCUCGUAACUGACGCUCAUGCACGACAGCGUGGGGAUCAAACAGG
rnacentral:rRNA from 1 species